rnacentral:tRNA from 1 species
GGAAGCGAACGGGGCCCGGUGGCCCUCCCGGUCUUCAAAAUCGGUCGCUGCCUCUUCGGAGGCAGGCUGGGUUCGACUCCCAGGCGCUUCCGCCA